GUUGACAACCAGGAGAAUGAGGUUGAAGAAAGAAUGAGUAAGAAUAGAAGAGACUUAAGAAAAUGUAGGUUGACGGGUUUUCCGAGUCACCCGGUAUCCUUUUCUGCCAACUUAUGCAGGGCACCUCUCUCUCUUGCUCUCCACCCUGUAAACAAUACCUCACUCAAUUACCCAUAUAUCCAGCCUCCUUAUCAGACUUACGGUCCUCGCCGGCAAUAUCGUGGCCUUCCUGCACUACGCCCCCCCCCCCCUUUCACUCAUGUUUCCGCUGUUUUCCAUCUCUCGGGCGCUCUCUGUCGAAAUAAAAUCAACCUACUUACUGCCGUCCUGGGGAAGUCAGCAGUAAGUGCAUUAUGGCGUGAGUCUCGAGGCGCAUAAAGAUACGCGGUGAUCGCGGCUCGGGUGUAACUGCACUUACUGCUGUUCUCCGUAGCAUGCCAGCUUACGAGACGCGUUUGAUUCGCGCGGCCGUGACGUGGUUCCGAAUGUGUCCGUUGCGAGCGGCCACGCCGAUUCAAAUUCUUCUCCGAGGUUGCCAAGUCUACGUGCAUGUUUGAUUUUUUAUCGUGCUUAGGAAAACGUAAGUAUGAACGGAAGAACGUUGUCAAUUUCGCCUCUUAAAACGCGGAUUUUAUGGCAAGAUUUGUCGUUUUCGCAGAGAAGUUUAGCGUCGGUUUAAUUUAGUGUAUCUGAAAGUUUUGCAGAAGAAUAUCGAUAGUCUUUAUCAAAACUGAAUAUUUUAUCGUGGAAAUUUGGUAGCAACUCGAAUUUUUCAUCCAGAAAGGCAGAUUUGUCCCUCAUCAGUCUGUGCGAUUUUUUUUUUUGAUUUGAAGGGACUAGGGAUGACGUAAUAACGACUAUGAAUACGGCACUCACUUCUCAGUGAAUAAAACAAGUGAGACCCAUUCUUGUGAUUUCGAGAAAUACGAGUUAAACAAAUAUAACAUUGAGUUUCAUGGCUGAUAAAAAGUUUAGAUUGAUGUGACGGUGCUGGACAUUUUAAUCAUCUUCUGACUUUUUUUUAAAACAAGAUGCAUCCAAAUUCACGAAUACCGGCUGUUAUUUUGAAAGUAUUUAUGUUCCUCCUCAAUUCAAUCGUGAC
rnacentral:lncRNA from 1 species